AUCACUUUUCUGCAUGUGUAAGCUGUACAAACUCUGCCAUCAUAUCCAAGACAUUGCAUUGUGAGGACUGUUGCCCUGGGAACACUGAGCGCAUUCUCGAAAAUUCCAAAUUUGUGCCACUUCCAUACGAAGACAGCCCAGAAUAAUUGGGCUCCAUCAACCAUCCCGGGUAAAGUCGGUCUGUCCUGAUUGCACUACUUGCUAAUUGAUGACGUCUAGAAGCCAUAGCUGCUUCCCUGGC